CAGAGGGUUUUGACAGUGUUCACUCCAGAUAUCCUGCUCCAAGUGGAACUGAUCAGAAUAGACGCCUCUCUCAGCACUGCCGGGUAUUCCAGCUUCCUCCCACAGUCCAAAGUAUUUUGAUAAAGGCUCUGUCGAAGUGUUUGGCUGCUGUACCGGACGGGUGGAGAGUGUCCCCAUCAACACUGAGGUGAAGUGAAAUCUCAAACCGACGGAGCUUUCCCUGGUGACUCGGCAACAUGGCUAAUGGCUUUGCUCAGGGCCUGUCCAGGCAUAGCUUGUCAAUACAAUUCUGUUCCGCUUUUCCCACUUGCCAGUUCCCAUCUGGAGCCAAUUCAUGAACUAAGAUGGUGUGUACCUUUCCCAUGAGGUCACUGCCUGUUUCUACACAACACUUAGCCCCAGUCCUGCCUUUCACAUCCCAUGUGCUCCUCUUUCUUCUCGCUCCACUGAGCUUCUUUUUCAUUGUGACAGACCAUACAGGGAAGUGCUUUACAGUAACUUAACUUCCUCUUUACUGUAAGGC